GACGAGGAGCUUGCUCCUCUGACGUUAGCGGCGGACGGGUGAGUAACACGUGGAUAACCUACCUAUAAGACUGGGAUAACUUCGGGAAACCGGAGCUAAUACCGGAUAAUAUAUUGAACCGCAUGGUUCAAUAGUGAAAGACGGUUUUGCUGUCACUUAUAGAUGGAUCCGCGCCGCAUUAGCUAGUUGGUAAGGUAACGGCUUACCAAGGCAACGAUGCGUAGCCGACCUGAGAGGGUGAUCGGCCACACUGGAACUGAGACACGGUCCAGACUCCUACGGGAGGCAGCAGUAGGGAAUCUUCCGCAAUGGGCGAAAGCCUGACGGAGCAACGCCGCGUGAGUGAUGAAGGUCUUCGGAUCGUAAAACUCUGUUAUUAGGGAAGAACAAAUGUGUAAGUAACUAUGCACGUCUUGACGGUACCUAAUCAGAAAGCCACGGCUAACUACGUGCCAGCAGCCGCGGUAAUACGUAGGUGGCAAGCGUUAUCCGGAAUUAUUGGGCGUAAAGCGCGCGUAGGCGGUUUUUUAAGUCUGAUGUGAAAGCCCACGGCUCAACCGUGGAAGGUCAUUGGAAACUGGAAAACUUGAGUGCAGAAGAGGAAAGUGGAAUUCCAUGUGUAGCGGUGAAAUGCGCAGAGAUAUGGAGGAACACCAGUGGCGAAGGCGACUUUCUGGUCUGUAACUGACGCUGAUGUGCGGAAGCGUGGGGAUCAAACAGGAUUAGA
rnacentral:rRNA from 1 species